rnacentral:rRNA from 1 species
AACGCUAGCGGGAGGCUACCACAUGUUGAAACCGAGCGGUAGAGAUUCUUCGGAAGUCUUGAGAGCGGCGCACGGGUGCGGAACACUGUGUGCAACCUGCCUUUAUCUGGGGGAUAGCCUUUCUGAAAGGGAGAUUAAUACCCCAUAAUAUACUGAGUGGCAUCACUUAUUAUUGAAAACUCCGGUGGCAUAGAGAUGGGCACGCGCAAGAUUAGAUAGUUGGUGAGGUAACGGCUCACCAAGUCAAUGAUCUUUAGGGGGCCUGAGAGGGUGAUCCCCCACACUGGUACUGAGACACGGACCAGACUCCUACGGGAGGCAGCAGUGAGGAAUAUUGGACAAUGGGUGAGAGCCUGAUCCAGCCAUCCCGCGUGAAGGACGACGGCCCUAUGGGUUGUAAACUUCUUUUGUACAGGGAUAAACCUUUCCACGUGUGGAAAGCUGAAGGUACUGUACGAAUAAGCACCGGCAUAACUCCGUUGACCAGCAGCCGCGGUAAUACGGAGGGUGCAAGCG